ensembl:lncRNA
GAGCGGCGUGGAGGGGCGGGGCGGGGCGGCGCGGCGGGUUCCCCGGCGCGGAGCACGUCGGAGCGAACGCACGAGGCCCUGACGCCGCAUGAGCUCGCUGACCAGCCGAGGCUCCCACCAACCGGGUCCGUAGGGACCCGGGGGCGGGAGGGGAAGGGCCGUCCCCUCCCGGCUUUGAGCAUGGGUCGUUCCCGAGCGCCGCCCGCACGACGGCGGGGUGCCUCGAGGAGCUGCGGAGGCUGAGGACCCGGGAAGGAGUGUCCUGCGGGGGCCCGCAGCCCCAGGGAAUCACCAGGGUCUUGGGACUCGUCGGAUCCCGGAGACUCGAGAUGCGGACUCCAAAGUGUGGCGCGCAAGGAGAAUGUUUAACUUAAUAACUUUUUGCAGCCAAGCUGGGCUUUAGCUGCCCUUUGGUUGAGGGCCACUUCACAAUAACAGCUGCAACUCUUUGGACACCCACUCCACAAACUUCAGGUCUUUCUCAAGGGUAUGGAACCUGGCCGUCACUGUCCUCUGGGGAAGCCUGGACCAGCCCAUCUGAAUGGACCACGUGGACAGGCACAGUGGAUGGGAACUGAGGCUUUUAGAUGACAGCCAGUGUCAACCAGCAGAUUUAAGGUGGGCAUUGUCUUUAGAUAAGCCCAUUGCUGAAGAUACUGAUGGUUGAAGAAAGGAAGACGGAAACGAUGAUCACCAAUGAUGUGAAAAAAAUUAUCCUUCAAAGGUGAGGGGGAAAGAGACUGUCAGACAAAAAAUUGGAGGAGUUUGGCAUCAGUAGACCUGCCUUGGAAGAAAUGUUAAAAGCGGCCCUUUAAAGAGGUCAGAAACUUGGAUAUCUGUAAGAAGAGAUGAACAUCAAAGAAGGACUAAGUGAAGGUAAAGCAGACUUUUCUUACUGAUCUAACAGGUAAGUUUCUUCAAAAUAAUAGCAGCAAUGUACUGCAUUAAGUGUGUGUGUGUGUGUAUAUAUAUAUAUAAUAUGACAUAUCUUUUGUGUGUAUAUAGAUGUGCUUGCAUAUGAAUAUAUGUGAAUUGAAUGACAGCAACGCUACAAGGGAUGGGAGGAAGGAGUUAGCUUUUUUUGUUACAAGGUACUUACACUGUUACCGAACACAAGUUCAUGUGCCCACUGCACAGUAAGGUCAAGUAAAUGGAAAUGUCAGAGUUUGGAGCAGAGAACGGUUUAUUGUAGGGUGAUGCAGUGAGACAGGUGGCUCAUUCCCCCCAUAGUCCUCAAAACAUGUCAGCAAAACUCUUAAAGGCAAGGUGAGGGAGGGGCGUGGUGGGUUGCUGCAAAUUUCAUGGUGUCAAAAUCCUUUGUUCUUGUAGCUCUCCAUAUAGGUCAGUUCAUAGUGUUCCUAUAAAUGUUAGGACCAUACAAAUGUUAUUCUCUGUUCAUCAGCUUUUUAUCUCUAUAUGAAAAUAGGCUAUCUUGCAUCAUUUUUUUUUUACGAAAGGAGUUCCCGUCGUGGCUCAGCGGUUGACGAAUCCGACUAGGAACCAUGAGGUUGUGGGUUCAAUCCUAAUCUUGCUCAGUGGGUUAAGGAUCCAGCGUUGCCAUAAGCUGUGAUGUACAUCACAGACGUGGCUCUAUCCAUCUAUCCAUCCAUCCAUCCAUUCAUCCUUCCCUCCAUCUACCUCUUCAAUAAGCCCUUUAAAUGGGAGCCAUCUCUACUCGUCACCAUAGCAUAUUAAUCACCUCUGAGUUUGGCAGAUGUUAAUGGCAUUGCUGUGGCUUUGUCUUGGGGCGGCGGCUACAACUCUGAUCAGACCCCUAGCCUGGGAACCUCCAUAUGCUGCGGGUGUGGCCCUGGAAAAAGAAAAAAAAAAUUUGUUCUCUAUUACAACACUACUCAUGAAGUACUCUAGUAUUUUUUGAAAGUUGACUGAGAUGGGCUGUAAAUGUGUAUUUACAAACUCCAAUGCAACCACUUAGUAUAUAUAUUGGAGAUAGAGAUAUUUUAUAAAAUACUUAAUGAGAAAAUGGGAUCAUAUAUAAUAUUUCUUUAAAAUCACAG